UUAUAGUGUCUUUCUCGUGACUCUUUGUAUACACUACAGGUGGUUAGACAAAGCUGCAAUAAUUGAUGAACAAACACCCUCUAUCAGUCUAGAAGUACAAGAGGAUCGUGGGCAGCUUUGCACGGUUGAACAAGUGAGGGAGGUAAAAGGCCUUUUCACGUUGAUACCUAUUUGGAUAACCUUUUUCGGCUAUAGUUUGUUAGUAGCUACAGGAAGCACUUUCUUUUUAGAACAAAGUAGCAACAUGGAUUUUUACAUUGGCAAUAAUGUUCAGGUUCCUAUAUCUAGUUUUGUUGUACUCCAGUCCUUUAUAAGCUUCAUAAUACCAUUCUUGUUUUGGUCGAAAAAAGCAAGACAACAAAGUGUUACACGGAUCAGAAUUGGUGUUGGUAUGGUUUGUUCUAUACUAAGUUGCAUUGCAGCUCGGCGGGUGGAGGUCCAUAGACUAAAUUUAAUAGAGAGAAUUGAUCCUAGUGAUCCCACUCAGAUUAUCUCUAUGAGUGUCCUCUGGUUAGUUCCACAAUUUUCUUUGUUAGGACUAAUGGAAGGACUUGCCAGUGACGGUCUUCAGGAAUUCUUCUAUAACCACGUCGCUACAUCAAUGAGGAGUUACGGCCCACCAUUCAGUGAUUGUGUAUUAGGUUUUGGAAAUUUCAUCAGCAUUGCUUUAGUUUUACUUUUUAAAAGCUGGUUCAAGGAUACCAUAAACACGAGUCAUCUAGACAGGUAUUAUCUGGCUUUAGCAAUAUUGAAUUUCGUGUUCCUUUGCAUUUAUGCGUAGUAUGCUUCAUCGUGGUACUUCAACAUGGAAAGUGCAUCGAAUGAUAUGGAAUUAGAAGACAUCGUGCUAGAUGGCAAUGAUGACAUAACUGAAUUCCACCCAACUGGGAGCCUCUCUUCCUCCGGAUGGAGGAGAAAAGUGGCUACAGUAGUCACUGCCACUCGCUUCUACCGUCGCUUAAUGAAAAUGGUUCUCAGUCAAUCACCCACAGAUAUAGACUCCCCUGAAUUUGUGGAGGGCCUCCCUUUGAUUAGGGAAGUCCUCGAUGAUGAGCCAAAGCACCACGAAGACUAAAUUUGGAUGGACUGAGAGGUGUUGCAAAAUCAGAUUGAAUUCUCCUUCAAAUCGGUUUAGAGGAAUCAUCUCCAACCCACUCUGUGAUAAUUCAUAAAAGCAUCCAUUCAUAUUAAGCAACCAUGUAAAUAGAUUUGGUUAAGGCAUUUCCUGAUGAGCACAAGCAGUUUCUUUCUAGUCUGGUUAGGGUGCAUAUAACCUCUAAUCAGCGCUAGUACCAUGUUGUAAACUUCAUUAUUUCAGCGUCCUCUUUCUUUUGUGUCAUAGAGCAAUAUAAAGAUAUCUCAUUGUAAAUUGAUCUUUAACUCUUGUGAACCCAAGAAAACAUGAUGAAGAUUAUAAUGUUUAUUUAUUAAAUCGAUAAAUAAAAGAUGACAAUGACCGUAGACUA